UACGAAGGGGGCUAGCGUUGCUCGGAAUCACUGGGCGUAAAGGGUGCGUAGGCGGGUCUUUAAGUCAGGGGUGAAAUCCUGGAGCUCAACUCCAGAACUGCCUUUGAUACUGAAGAUCUUGAGUAUGGGAGAGGUGAGUGGAACUGCGAGUGUAGAGGUGAAAUUCGUAGAUAUUCGCAAGAACACCAGUGGCGAAGGCGGCUCACUGGCCCAUAACUGACGCUGAGGCACGAAAGCGUGGGGAGCAAACAGG
rnacentral:rRNA from 1 species